AUUGAACGCUGGCGGCAGGCCUAACACAUGCAAGUCGAGCGGCAGCGGAAAGUAGCUUGCUACUUUGCCGGCGAGCGGCGGACGGGUGAGUAAUGUCUGGGAAACUGCCUGAUGGAGGGGGAUAACUACUGGAAACGGUAGCUAAUACCGCAUAACGUCGCAAGACCAAAGAGGGGGACCUUCGGGCCUCUUGCCAUCAGAUGUGCCCAGAUGGGAUUAGCUAGUAGGUGGGGUAACGGCUAACCUAGGCCACGAUCCCUAGCUGGUCUGAGAGUAGGACCAGCCACACGGGAACUGAGAAACGGUCCAGACUCCUACGGGAGUCAGCAGUGGGGAAUAUUGCACAAUGGGCGCAAGCCUGAUGCAGCCAUGCCGCGUGUAUGAAGAAGGCCUUCGGCUUGUAAAGUACUUCCAGCGGGGAGGAAGGUGUUGAGGUUAAUAACCUCAGCAAUUGACGUUACCCGCAUAAGAAGCACCGGCUAACUCCGUGCCAGCAGCCGCCGUAAUAC
rnacentral:rRNA from 1 species